CCGAGUUAGGGUACCUCACCUAAACCGUGAGUGCCCGACCUCCCAACCCUUUGCUUACUUGACCUUUGUUGCUUCGGCAGGCCCGCCUCCGGGCCGCCGGGAGUCGGUAACACGCUCCUGGCCAGUCUCGCCUGCCGAUGGCCCAAAUCUCAAACUCUUGUUUAAAAACGUGUCGUCUGAGUACUUGUUUAAAAACAAAUUUUAACA
rnacentral:misc_RNA from 1 species